rnacentral:rRNA from 1 species
GAUGAACGCUGGCGGCGUGCCUAAUACAUGCAAGUCGAACGAGAUCUUCGGAUCUAGUGGCGAACGGGUGAGUAACGCGUUGGUACCCACCCUGAAGCGGGGAAUAACUGGCCGAAAGGUCGGCUAAUACCGCAUAAUACCGCAAGGUUAAAGUCGUAAGACGCUUCGGGAGGGGCCUGCGUCCCAUUAGCUAGUUGGUGAGGUAACUGCUAACCAAGGCGACGAUGGGUAGCUGGAUCGAGAGGUUGACCAGCCACACUGGGACUGAGAUACGGCCCAGACUCCUACGGGAGGCAGCAGUAAGGAAUCUUCCACAAUGGGCGAAAGCCUGAUGGAGCAACGCCGCGUGCAGGAUGACGGUCUUCGGAUUGUAAACUGCUUUUAUAUGGGAAGAUUAUGACGGUACCAUAUGAAUAAGCACCGGCUAACUACGUGCCAGCCGCCGCAGUAA